AUUGAACGCUGGCGGCAGGCCUAACACAUGCAAGUCGAGCGAGCGGCGGACGGGUGAGUAAUGUCUGGGAGACUGCCUGCUGGAGGGGGAUAACUCCUGGAAACGGUAGCUAAUACAGCAUACCAUCAGAUGUGCUCCGAUGGGCUUAGCUGGUGGGGGGGGUAAAGGCCCACCAAGGCGACGAUCCGAAGCGGGUCUGAGAGGAUGAUCCGCAACACUGGAACUGAGACACGGCCCAGACUCCUACGGGAGGCAGCAGUGGGGAAUAUUGGACAAUGGGCGCAAGCCUGAUCCAGCCAUGCCGCGUGUCUGAAGAAGGCCUUCGGGUUGUAAAGGACUUUUAUCAGGGAGGCGGUACCUGAAGAAGAAGCACCGGCUAACUACGUGCCAGCAGCCGCGGUAAUAC
rnacentral:rRNA from 1 species